GUUUAGUAUUGCUACAGACACUGAUCUUAGGUCAGGCACUGCUGGGAGCUUCAUUCGGGCUGACAGCGGCAUUUAUGAGAGCAAAUGUCUGUCCCUGCGCAAUUUCUGUGGGGAUAGUUGCAGUCAGGUCUACAGGAUUUGCUUAAAAAUUUCCAAGACCUGGGUGUGUCUGACAGCCUGGACCUCAACCUCAAAAAGGAACUAGCUCCUCUCUGAUUUCCUUGGGACACCUGGGAGCAAGCACAGGAGCCCAUGGAGCCACGGAGAGUGUCACUUCAAGCGCCUCCUGGGAGCUCUUGCAGAUGCCAAGUGCUCUGCCCUUCCCCAUUACCUGUGAUUUCAAGUGGGCUUAGAGAUUCUCCAAGAUGUGAGAUGAAAGGCCAAGAAACUAAUUCCUCUGACUUCUUCAGAGAACCGCACAGUCUCUUGAGCAGGAGUUAACCAGAAGAGUGACGGUUGUGCAUGGACGGCCCUGGUUCACAGUCCAGCUCUGCCAUCCCUAGCAUGAUACCUGGAUGAAGCCCUGUGGAUUCUACCUCUGGAUCAUCUCAUCCAAAAUGCCACCCGUCAGUUUCCACUGGUCCUCCUUGGUUCAAGGCGUCCUCAUCUUCACCCUCCACUGAAGCAACAACUCCUCACGGAUCUUCCUGCUUCCAAUCUUGCCUUUCUCUUUUCUCUCUUACCCAAACCCAUAGGCAUGUCCUCUUCAGAUCAUGAAUAAUAUUCCUAAAACACAAACAGGAUCAGAUUCCCCCCUUGUAAAAUUCCUUCAGUGGAUGUCUUCUAACUUCAAGGGAAAGGCUAGGACCCUUGGAUCUUCCAAAUCCAGACCAGGCUGACUGCUCUAGCCUUCUUCCAACAUCCACGACACCCAUUUUGCACCCAAUGCUCUAGGCACUGGGAGCUACUCACAGUUCCCCUGACCUGACAAACUGUUCAGACAUCCACACAUUUCCUAGUGCUGUCUGCACCUGCAUAAAUUGCCCUCUGCUUUCCUCAUGUCCCCUCUACUGUUAAAACCUGCUCAUCUCUUAUUACUCAGCUCCACUGUUCUCUUCUCGCUCUACAGAAAAGGUUCCAGGCUCCAGUUAUGACUCUCCUCUAUGUCCCAAUCAGAACACAUUCGGUUCCCAUUAGAGUCUCUAGGACAAUCUAAUCUUGCAUUACCUUUUCCUCUAUAGGACCACAGCUUGUUGAAGAAAAUGAACAGUCUCCCUGGUACCAUUUGUUUUUGUAUCCCCAGCAUCUAUGGCAUUGAGUACAUAGAAUCCUUGGGAUGACCAGCAAUUGAGCUGUGGGCAGAACAAGAACAAUCAGCAAAGGAGACUGAGAAGCACCAGCCAGAGAAGCAGGAGGAGAACCGGUAGAGAGACAGCUACUGCAGCCACCAAAGGGAGAAAUGUUCUGCUGGGAGGAAAAUGAGAGCCUGUGGAAGUGAGCCAAAGAAUCUUCUGCCUGGGGAACAUUCACUGAUGCUUCAAGUGCUGGAAGAUCUGUGACUCCCAAAU
rnacentral:lncRNA from 1 species